ACAGAGGUGUCGAGCGUUGUUCGGAUUUACUGGGCGUAAAGGGUGCGUAGGCGGUUCCGUGUGUCGGAUGUGAAAUCCUGCCGCUCAACGGCAGAACGGCAUCCGAAACUACGGUGCUUGAGUUCGGGAGAGGAAGGCGGAAUUCCAGGUGUAGCGGUGAAAUGCGUAGAUAUCUGGAGGAACACCCGUGGCGAAGGCGGCCUUCUGGACCGAUACUGACGCUGAGGCACGAAGGCCGGGGGAGCAAACAG
rnacentral:rRNA from 1 species